ACUAACUAGAAACACAGGGCGACUAUCGCCCUCUCGAUUGACGGGAAGCACGGACAGACUAGACGCUGGAGGGUCGUUCCCCCAUCCGGCGCGACGCUUACGCAUAAAAAGGUGCGUAAAGCUUCUCACCAAUCUUCGAGGGUAGCGCUGCUACCCUUUUUUUUCUGAG
rnacentral:sRNA from 1 species